AAGGCGAGGCCGAAAGGCGUAGUCGAUGGGAAACAGGUUAAUAUUCCUGUACUUGGUGUUACUGCGAAGGGGGGACGGAGAAGGCUAUGUUGGCCGGGCGACGGUUGUCCCGGUUUAAGCGUGUAGGCUGGUUUUCCAGGCAAAUCCGGAAAAUCAAGGCUGAGGCGUGAUGACGAGGCACUACGGUGCUGAAGCAACAAAUGCCCUGCUUCCAGGAAAAGCCUCUAAGCAUCAGGUAACAUCAAAUCGUACCCCAAACCGACACAGGUGGUCAGGUAGAGAAUAC
rnacentral:rRNA from 2 species